UACGUAGGUGGCAAGCGUUGUCCGGAAUUAUUGGGCGUAAAGCGCGCGCAGGCGGUUCUUUAAGUCUGAUGUGAAAGCCCACGGCUCAACCGUGGAGGGUCAUUGGAAACUGGAGAACUUGAGUACAGAAGAGGAAAGCGGAAUUCCACGUGUAGCGGUGAAAUGCGUAGAUAUCUGGAGGAAUACCGGUGGCGAAGGCGGCAUCCUGGACCGGCAUUGACGCUGAGGAGCGAAAGCCAGGGGAGCAAACGGG
rnacentral:rRNA from 1 species